UACGGAGGGUGCAAGCGUUAUCCGGAUUCACUGGGUUUAAAGGGUGCGUAGGCGGAUAGGUAAGUCCGUGGUGAAAUCCUGCAGCUUAACUGCAGAACUGCCAUGGAUACUAUUUAUCUUGAAUGUCGUGGAGGUUAGCAGAAUAUGUCAUGUAGCGGUGAAAUGCUUAGAUAUGACAUAGAAUACCCAUGCGAAGGCAGCUAACUACGCGAUAAUUGACGCUGAUGCACGAAAGCGUGGGGAUCAAACAGGA
rnacentral:rRNA from 1 species